rnacentral:siRNA from 1 species
UCGAAAGAAUAGAAUGCCAAAUGG